rnacentral:misc_RNA from 1 species
UUAAGUUCAGCGGGUAGUCCUACCUGAUUUGAGAUCAAACGUUCAAAGAGCUGUCCUCGGUGAGGAGAGACAUGCCGUUUAUGAGCCCCAGUGAACCUUCAUCGCUGAAGGUUACCUGGUGGACAACCACAAGCGUAGAUAGUUAUCACACCUGUGAUGCCACCAAACACUGGCAAGCUGAUUCAUUUGAGAGGAGCUGA